rnacentral:rRNA from 1 species
AUGAAUGAUAUUUUACCAUCUGGAGUUGGACCAAAUCUGCUAUUGGGCUAUCUGCAUCGCUGGGAUCUCCUGGUUGUUACAAAUAAAAAGAGCACUGAUGAUCACAUUUCUCUUUUAAAAUGGCCAUCUAGAACUGAUGAGGAAAGAACUGUGGUAUACCUCAAAAUGGUGGAGGAUAACUAUAGCCCUAGGAUUGAUCUGCAAGAAAAUGGUGAUGACAAUGUUUUAUUGGGGUUUGGUGUGGAGAAUGUUUCAUUAUUUCAGAAGAUCACAGUACUGGUUGGACCUGAACAGAAGGAGGUUGCCCCUCAACAUCUUCUACUUUGUUUGACUAGUGAAGGGAAACUAAUGAUUUAUUAUCUUGCCAGGAUUUCUGACCCUUCUGAUUUACCUCAAAAAAGUCUGUCUACCAUUGAGGAUACUAAUGUGAAUGAACAAAUUUCUCCUGCAACUGCGUCUAAUAAGCAUCUGACUGUAAGUGUUAUUUCAACUUCACACGACGGCAAGAGUCUGCUCGCAGCACAUGGGACGAUGGCCACACACGACGGCAGCAAGGCGAAGAAAGAGAAGGACCCAGGUGAAUCGUGUAGAAGAUUGUUCAGUGCUGUAUGCAAGAAACUCAGAGAUGAGCGCGAAAAAUACGAUGCUGAGCCGGAAAAAUACAAAGAUGAGCUCACUACAGAUUCUGAAGACUGGACUCUUAUACCUAUAAUUGAAAAGAUGCUGAAUGCUCCUACUGAUUGUGCUGAAUCACCAGCAGAGUACUACAGCAAAUUGACUAAAGAUCUGCAGACGGUAACCAAAAGAAUCAAUGCACGGAAACGUGCAUUCGAGAGAGAUGAUCUGGUGAAGACGCUGCGAAGGUCGAUAUGGGAAAUCUCUCGGGUUGACUCAGCUGACCCAUUUCUCGACAAAAAAAGAAAGACCGAAGCUGUGCAAGCAUGCAGCUGGCUUGACAACAGGCUGAAAGAGCAGGGGUCAAUCUCAAUAUAUGAAGUUCCUCCUUCCCUAACAUGUAAAGAUAUACAAAACUGGAUUGACAAGCUAAACCAAGUGACGGAGAUAACUGAGACCAGCAAAGUCCAUAUGGCUUUCCUGACAGGAUUGAUCGUUGGCAAGAAUUUUCUUCAGCCUAAGAUCAGCCAGAGCCUCACAAAAAGUGGUCUUGAACUUCCGAUCAUCAGUAGAAGAAGUGUGCAGGCAAAUGGAACUGGUUUGGGUCAGGUGAUGUCAUUAGCACAUGAAACUUCAUCUGGCCCUGUUGCUGGGAGUUCGAUUGAGGAUUAUAUGACCAGCAUACCUACCCCAUCAACAGCAGUUUAUACUGGCCAGACCCUUUUUGAAAUUUUUGCGGUUCACACCAACUUAAGCUUGAUAAGUACCAUUGUACUUUAUGAUGAUCAGGGUGGUACUCUAGUAUACGAGUCAAAUGAAGCAAAUAAGGAAAAGUUUAUUCGUCGGCGCUCCAAGUGGCUGUCAAAGCAUACCGGAAAAAUCGCAGCUGAUUUCACCGAUUCUCUUAUUCUGAGAGGACCGACCCGUCCUAUGACUGCUCAUGCAGGUUGUUGGAUUUUUGAGAUCGAUGUGCCUAUUGAGUCAUCUUUCAGUUCGGAAGAUUCUGAAUUCCCUGAUACAAUAUUUGAGACAACCCUGUGUUUGGAUGACGAUUAUAUGGAUAAUCCACGUUGCAGCUUAAUAUCCAUAAGAGGUGGCUUCAUAAACCUCACCUCCAUUACAUUUACCAAUGCUCUUAGAUCUACAGUUAGGUUUGCUUUUGAUGGUCCCUUGGAUGCCAGUGAGGUCCGAGGUAUACUUACGCUAUCCGUUGAAGGCUAUGACGCCAAAUUUACGAUCUUGAAAAGUCGAGCCCUUGUAUAUCCUGUCGGUCAGACAAAAUUUGAAGUCCGUUUACUUAGACAUGUUUUGGCCCUUCCCGUCGGAUGUCGUAUACAUGUCAAAGGCAACUUGAAGCUUGGAAGACAACAGAGUGUGCAUGUAGAUAAGUACCUUGUACUCGAUAGAAAAAUAGUAGAGGUUGAAUGGCCUUUUGUUCCAUUGAUUAAGGCUCGCAUAUGUAUUGAAGUAUGUGAAUUUCCGUAG